AAGGAGCUUUACUGCCAAGGUACACUCCAGUACACUCUAAUAUUACACAUACUGUAUACAUACAACAAGACUGACUAAAUAAAUAAAUAAAUAAAAUAUUAAAUUAAAGAAUAAAAUAUGAAAAAGUUAAGUCAGAAAUUCUUUUAAUAUCUAGAAAUAUUUUCAAAUUAUGUACAUAUUUACAUUGUUAUGGAUAAUAAUAAUAUGAUUAAAUAUGAUAAUUUUUUUAAUUUUGUCUGUCAUAUAGUUAGUAAGGUAGUUGUUAAACUUUAGGUAGGAUUAGGGAAGUAGAAUAUGAUCAUGCAGAAUAUGUGCCUUAUUAGUACUAAUAAACAGCAAAUAUGUUAAUAAUAAGCAUGCUAAUAAACAACUAGUUAAUAGUGAGAAUUGGUCCCUGUACUAAAGUUUUACCGUGUAAAUUGUAAAAAUAUGUAAAAAUUAUAUAUAUAUAUCACCUAUAAUGCACCUUAUUGCAACUCAAAAGCUAUCAUAUAUUGGUUUGAUUUUUAUAAUUUACAUCACACAUGUCUGGGUAUAACCACUGCAAUUUUCAGUCCUCAGGUUAACCUAGAUUAAUGUCCCAGCCAUAAACAAGCUCUCAUUGUCUCUCUAAAUGAGAUUAGCACAGGGUUAAGUACCUCUUCGCUUUGUUCGGUCCAGUGAGGUUGUGUUUGACGAGGGAUAAGAAGUGAGAGAGGCGCACGGAGGGUGGUGUGCUGUACCUUUGCACCGUGCCAAUGUCAGCAAGCUGUGCCAGUCUCACCGGGCGGCCGUCCACGUCCCAGGCUCCGCCGUGCUACGCAGAGGAUCCACAAACUCACUGCAUAUGCUCCGUAUGGCCCAGACAGUCCGUCCAAUUUUCCACCAUCUGCUGGGCCUGCACUUACGCACCACAGAAAGGUCACCGUCAGCUCUGCUUGACUCAUAAAAAUUCAAAUGACACUAUGAAAAAUCCUAUUCUUAACCAGUAGUUUUAUUUAUUUUAAAGUUAAAAUAUCUAAAAGAAAAAAAAAUGAAAAUCUAAAACAAAUUUAAUUGAGAACCAACACUGCACAACAUAUUAAGAUGCACUUUAUAAAACCUUAUCAUAUGUGGUGAUGCACUAUGUUAUGUAGUAAUAUAGUCUGUUGCAUCAUUUUUUGUCUAUGAUGUCAUUGAAAACGUGGGCCCGUUCUAAUAUAGGUUUGCAGAUCCACUGGUGAAGCUUCAGUUUAAGCCUUAUUUUUGGUGGGAAAAGGAUGACAGAGUCCAUACUGACCUGCUAAAAGUGCAUCUCUGUCUCAGUAUAUCUGUAACACAUCAUCAUGUUGCACCUUUGUUAUCCUCUCACUAUCUUAUUAAUUGAUUGCUCUAC
ensembl:lncRNA